rnacentral:rRNA from 1 species
UACAGAGGUGGCAAGCGUUGUUCGGAAUUACUGGGCGUAAAGGGCGCGUAGGCGGCCUUGUAAGUCCUGUGUGAAAUCCCCCGGCUCAACUGGGGAACUGCACAGGAGACUGCUUGGCUUGAGUUCGGGAGAGGAGAGCGGAAUUCCCAGUGUAGAGGUGAAAUUCGUAGAUAUUGGGAAGAACACCGGUGGCGAAGGCGGCUCUCUGGACCGAUACUGACGCUGAGGCGCGAAAGCGUGGGGAGCAAACAGG